AGGAUGAACGCUGGCGGCGUGCUUAACACAUGCAAGUCGAACGAUGAAGGCUGGAGCUUGCUCUGGCUGGAUUAGUGGCGAACGGGUGAGUAACACGUGAGUAACCUGCCCCCGACUCUGGGAUAAGCGCUGGAAACGGCGUCUAAUACCGGAUACGAGCUUCCGCCGCAUGGUGAGGAGCUAGGAAAAGAAUUUCGGCUGGGAUGGACUCGCGGCCUAUCAGUCUUGUGGUGAGGUAAUGGCUCACCAAGGCGAACGACGGGUACGCCGGCCUGAGAGGGUGACCGGCCACGACGUGGGACUGAGACACGGCCCAGACCUCCGUACGGGAGCAGCAGUGGGAAUAGUGACACAAGUGGGGACACGAAGCCUAG
rnacentral:rRNA from 1 species